AAACCUGAGAAACCCGAAAGAUCGAAUGGGAAGAUUCAGCGUCAGCGGCGCUUGCUCGGCGGAUCGUGCGUCGUCUCGGACUUCUGUCUUGGGACUCGUAUUCUUUCCAUGCCUUGUUUGGCGUCGUCGUCGUGCACUUCUUCCCUAGUAGAACGUCGCGACCCGUUGGGUGUCGGUAUACGGUCCGAGCGGUAGACUGUCGCGUCGCUUCGGCGCACGCGGCAGACCCUCGGUCACCCGACCGGCUGCCCGGCGGUCGAACUUAUAAGGUAUCUUGCCGCAAUUAUCGAACGUGCGUCGGGCCCGUCGCAAGCGAGGCCAGUAUUUAUCGGAGUUACGGACCCGGUGCCGUACCCGUAACUGGCCAGCUGUUUGCUGGCGGAGUCCUUUGACGGGCAAUACACAAUGAUACCGGUCUGCGACGCUACUGCUUUGGGUACUCUCAGGACCCGUCUUGAAACACGGACCAAGGAGUCUAACAUGUGCGCGAGUCAUUGGGACCGCGAAGCCUAAAGGCGUAAUGAAAGUGAAGGUCGUACUUUAAGGUCGACCGAGGGAGGAUGGGCCGCGUUUACGCGUUGCUCCGCACUCCCGGGGCGUCUCGCUCUCAUUGCGAGAAGAGGCGCACCCAGAGCGUACACGUUGGGACCCGAAAGAUGGUGAACUAUGCCUGGUCAGGACGAAGUCAGGGGAAACCCUGAUGGAGGUCCGUAGCGAUUCUGACGUGCAAAUCGAUCGUCGGAACUGGGUAUAGGGGCGAAAGACUAAUCGAACCAUCUAGUAGCUGGUUCCCUCCGAAGUUUCCCUCAGGAUAGCUGGCACUCGUUCGUUCAUAAUUUGAACGUCUAACGAGUCUCAUCUGGUAAAGCGAAUGAUUAGAGGCCUUGGGGCCGAAACGACCUCAACCUAUUCUCAAACUUUAAAUGGGUGAGAUCUCUGGCUUGCUUGAACUAUGAAGCCACGAGAGAAAAAAUUAUAAUAAUAAUUUAUUAUUAUAAUAUAUAAAUACGGAUCAGAGUGCCAAGUGGGCCAAUUUU
rnacentral:rRNA from 1 species